AAUGGGUCAGCGACUUAUAUUCUGUAGCAAGGUUAACCGAAUAGGGGAGCCGAAGGGAAACCGAGUCUUAACUGGGCGUUAAGUUGCAGGGUAUAGACCCGAAACCCGGUGAUCUAGCCAUGGGCAGGUUGAAGGUUGGGUAACACUAACUGGAGGACCGAACCGACUAAUGUUGAAAAAUUAGCGGAUGACUUGUGGCUGGGGGUGAAAGGCCAAUCAAACCGGGAGAUAGCUGGUUCUCCCCGAAAGCUAUUUAGGUAGCGCCUCGUGAAUUCAUCUCCGGGGGUAGAGCACUGUUUCGGCAAGGGGGUCAUCCCGACUUACCAACCCGAUGCAAACUGCGAAUACCGGAGAAUGUUAUCACGGGAGACACACGGCGGGUGCUAACGUCCGUCGUGAAGAGGGAAACAACCCAGACCGCCAGCUAAGGUCCCAAAGUCAUGGUUAAGUGGGAAACGAUGUGGGAAGGCCCAGACAGCCAGGAUGUUGGCUUAGAAGCAGCCAUCAUUUAAAGAAAGCGUAAUAGCUCACUGGUCGAGUCGGCCUGCGCGGAAGAUGUAACGGGGCUAAACCAUGCACCGAAGCUGCGGCAGCGACACUGUGUGUUGUUGGGUAGGGGAGCGUUCUGUAAGCCUGUGAAGGUGUACUGUGAGGUAUGCUGGAGGUAUCAGAAGUGCGAAUGCUGACAUAAGUAACGAUAAAGCGGGUGAAAAGCCCGCUCGCCGGAAGACCAAGGGUUCCUGUCCAACGUUAAUCGGGGCAGGGUGAGUCGACCCCUAAGGCGAGGCCGAAAGGCGUAGUCGAUGGGAAACAGGUUAAUAUUCCUGUACUUGGUGUUACUGCGAAGGGGGGACGGAGAAGGCUAUGUUGGCCGGGCGACGGUUGUCCCGGUUUAAGCGUGUAGGCUGGUUUUCCAGGCAAAUCCGGAAAAUCAAGGCUGAGGCGUGAUGACGAGGCACUACGGUGCUGAAGCAACAAAUGCCCUGCUUCCAGGAAAAGCCUCUAAGCAUCAGGUAACAUCAAAUCGUACCCCAAACCGACACAGGUGGUCAGGUAGAGAAUACCAAGGCGCUUGAGAGAACUCGGGUGAAGGAACUAGGCAAAAUGGUGCCGUAACUUCGGGAGAAGGCACGCUGAUAUGUAGGUGAAGUCCCUCGCGGAUGGAGCUGAAAUCAGUCGAAGAUACCAGCUGGCUGCAACUGUUUAUUAAAAACACAGCACUGUGCAAACACGAAAGUGGACGUAUACGGUGUGACGCCUGCCCGGUGCCGGAAGGUUAAUUGAUGGGGUCAGCGCAAGCGAAGCUCUUGAUCGAAGCCCCGGUAAACGGCGGCCGUAACUAUAACGGUCCUAAGGUAGCGAAAUUCCUUGUCGGGUAAGUUCCGACCUGCACGAAUGGCGUAAUGAUGGCCAGGCUGUCUCCACCCGAGACUCAGUGAAAUUGAACUCGCUGUGAAGAUGCAGUGUACCCGCGGCAAGACGGAAAGACCCCGUGAACCUUUACUAUAGCUUGACACUGAACAUUGAGCCUUGAUGUGUAGGAUAGGUGGGAGGCUUUGAAGUGUGGACGCCAGUCUGCAUGGAGCCGACCUUGAAAUACCACCCUUUAAUGUUUGAUGUUCUAACGU
rnacentral:rRNA from 1 species